AGAUCGAAAUGGUGGUUGGGAGGGUCGCAUGCACCA
rnacentral:sRNA from 1 species